rnacentral:rRNA from 1 species
GGGGAAUUUUCCGCAAUGGGCGCAAGCCUGACGGAGCAAUACCGCGUGAGGGAAGAAGGCUUUUGGGUUGUAAACCUCUUUUCUCAGGGAAGAAGCAAUGACGGUACCUGAGGAAUCAGCAUCGGCUAACUCCGUGCCAGCAGCCGCGGUAAUACGGAGGAUGCAAGCGUUAUCCGGAAUUAUUGGGCGUAAAGCGUCCGCAGGUGGCUAGUCAAGUCUGCGGUCAAAGACAGAAGCUUAACUUCUGGAAGGCAGUGGAAACGGGCAAGCUAGAGUACGGUAGGGGUAGAGGGAAUUCCCAGUGUAGCGGUGAAAUGCGUAGAGAUUGGGAAGAACACCAGUGGCGAAAGCGCUCUACUGGGCCUGUACUGACACUGAGGGACGAAAGCUAGGGGAGCGAAAGGGAUUAGAUACCCCUGUAGUC